GAUGAAGAACGUAGCGAAAUGCGAUAAGUAAUGUGAAUUGCAGAAUUCAGUGAAUCAUCGAAUCUUUGAACGCACAUUGCGCCACCUGGUAUUCCGGGGGGCAUGCCUGUUCGAGCGUCAUUUCACCACUCAAGCCUCGCUUGGUAUUGGGCAUCGCGGUCCGCCGCGUGCCUCAAAUCGACCGGCUGGGUCUUCUGUCCCCUAAGCGUUGUGGAAACUAUUCGCUAAAGGGUGUUCGGGAGGCUACGCCGUAAAACAACCCCAUUUCUAAGGUUGACCUCGGAUCAGGUAGGGAUACCCGCUGAACUUAAGCAUAUCAAUAAGCGGAGGA
rnacentral:misc_RNA from 1 species